UGAGCGGCAAAAGCUCAAAUUUGAAAUCUGGCACUUUCAGUGUCCGAGUUGUAAUUUGAAGAAGGUAUCUUUGGGUCUGGCUCUUGUCUAUGUUUCUUGGAACAGAACGUCACAGAGGGUGAGAAUCCCGUGCGAUGAGAUGUCCCAGACCUAUGUAAAGUUCCUUCGAAGAGUCGAGUUGUUUGGGAAUGCAGCUCUAAGUGGGUGGUAAAUUCCAUCUAAAGCUAAAUAUUGGCGAGAGACCGAUAGCGAACAAGUACAGUGAUGGAAAGAUGAAAAGAACUUUGAAAAGAGAGUGAAAAAGUACGUGAAAUUGUUGAAAGGGAAGGGCUUGAGAUCAGACUUGGUAUUUUGUAUGUUACUCUCUCGGGGGUGGCCUCUACAGUUUACCGGGCCAGCAUCAGUUUGAGCGGUAGGAUAAGUGCAAAGAAAUGUGGCACUGCUUCGGUAGUGUGUUAUAGUCUUUGUCGAUACUGCCAGCUUAGACUGAGGACUGCGGCUUCGGCCUAGGAUGUUGGCAUAAUGAUCUUAAGUCGCCCGUCUUC
rnacentral:rRNA from 1 species